UUAUUUUAGGUUGGUGCAAAAGUAGUUGUGGUUUUUGCCAUUACUUUCAAAGGCAGAAACCACAAUUACUUUUGCACCAACCUAAAU
rnacentral:miRNA from 1 species